AACGAACGCUGGCGGCAGGCCUAACACAUGCAAGUCGAACGCCGUAGCGAUACGGAGUGGCAGACGGGUGAGUAACGCGUGGGAACAUACCCCUCGGUUCGGAAUAACUCAGGGAAACUUGAGCUAAUACCGGAUACGUCCAAGGUUUUAAUCGACCUUGGAGAAAGAUUAUCGCCGGAGGAUUGGCCCGCGUCUGAUUAGCUUGUUGGUGAGGUAAUGGCUCACCAAGGCGACGANCAGUAGCUGGUCUGAGAGGAUGAUCAGCCACAUUGGGACUGAGACACGGCCCAAACUCCUACGGGAGGCAGCAGGUGGGGAAUAUUGGACAAUGGGCGAAAGCCUGAUCCAGCCAUGCCGCGUGAGUGAUGAAGGCCUUAGGGUUGUAAAGCUCUUUACCCGGGAAGAUAAUGACGGUACCGGGAGAAUAACGCCCCGGCUAACUUCGUGCCAGCCGCCGCU
rnacentral:rRNA from 1 species